UACAGAGGGUGCGAGCGUUAAUCGGAUUUACUGGGCGUAAAGGGCGCGUAGGCGGUAUGUUGUGAGUGAUGUGAAAGCCCUGGGCUUAACCUAGGAAGUGCAUCGCAGACUAACGUACUGGAGUAGAUGAGAGGGUGGCGGAAUUUCCGGUGUAGCGGUGAAAUGCGUAGAGAUCGGAAGGAACGUCGAUGGCGAAGGCAGCCACCUGGCAUCAUACUGACGCUGAGGCGCGAAAGCGUGGGGAUCGAACAGG
rnacentral:rRNA from 1 species